rnacentral:tRNA from 5 species
GGGCGGCUGGCCUAAUGGUAAGGCGCUUGACUUCGGAUCAAGAGAUUGUAGGUUCGAUCCCUGCGUCGCUCG